rnacentral:rRNA from 1 species
AUUGAACGCUGGCGGCAGGCCUAACACAUGCAAGUCGAGCGGAUGAGAAGAGCUUGCUCUUCGAUUCAGCGGCGGACGGGUGAGUAAUGCCUGGGAAUCUGCCUGGUAGUGGGGGACAACGUUUCGAAAGGAACGCUAAUACCGCAUACGUCCUACGGGAGAAAGCAGGGGACCUUCGGGCCUUGCGCUAUCAGAUGAGCCUAGGUCGGAUUAGCUAGUUGGUGAGGUAAUGGCUCACCAAGGCGACGAUCCGUAACUGGUCUGAGAGGAUGAUCAGUCACACUGGAACUGAGACACGGUCCAGACUCCUACGGGAGGCAGCAGUGGGGAAUAUUGGACAAUGGGCGAAAGCCUGAUCCAGCCAUGCCGCGAGUGUGAAGAAGGUCUUCGGAUUGUAAAGCACUUUAAGUUGGGAGGAAGGGCAGUAAGUUAAUACCUUGCUGUUUUGACGUUACCGACAGAAUAAGCACCGGCUAACUCUGUGCCAGCAGCCGCAGUAA